ensembl:snRNA U6 U6 spliceosomal RNA
UUGCUCGCUUUGGCAGCCCAUGUACUAAAACGGGGGUGAUACAGAGAAGAUUAGCGUGGCUCCUGCAUGAAGGUGAUACACAAAUUCGUGACGUAUUCCAUAUUUUC